rnacentral:rRNA from 1 species
UACGUAGGGCGCGAGCGUUGUCCGGAAUUAUUGGGCGUAAAGAGCUCGUAGGCGGCCUGUCGCGUCGGUUGUGAAAGCCCGGGGCUCAACUCCGGGUCUGCAGUCGAUACGGGCAGGCUAGAGUUCGGUAGGGGAGAUCGGAAUUCCUGGUGUAGCGGUGAAAUGCGCAGAUAUCAGGAGGAACACCGGUGGCGAAGGCGGAUCUCUGGGCCGAUACUGACGCUGAGGAGCGAAAGCGUGGGGAGCGAACAGG